rnacentral:rRNA from 1 species
UACGUAGGGGGCAAGCGUUGUCCGGAACCAUUGGGCGUAAAGAGCGUGUAGGCGGUCCGAUAAGUCCGCUCUGAAAGCCCGGGGCUCAACCCCGGGAGGCGGGCGGAUACUGUCGGGCUAGAGUCCGGAAGAGGCAAGUGGAAUUCCUGGUGUAGCGGUGAAAUGCGCAGAUAUCAGGAGGAACACCGAUGGCGAAGGCAGCUUGCUGGGACGGUACUGACGCUGAGACGCGAAAGCGUGGGGAGCAAACAGG